GACGAACGCUGGCGGCGUGCUUAACACAUGCAAGUCGAACGAUGAAGCCGGAGCUUGCUCUGGUGAAUUAGUGGCGAACGGGUGAGUAACACGUGAGUAACCUGCCCUUGACUCUGGGAUAACUGCGGGAAACUGUAGCUAAUACCGGAUACGACCCUCGGAGGCAUGACCCGGGGGUGGAAAGAAUUUCGGUCAAGGAUGGACUCGCGGCCGAUCAGCUAGUUGGUGAGGUAAAGGCUCACCAAGGCGGCGACGGGUAGCCGGCCUGAGAGGGUGACCGGCCACACUGGGACUGAGACACGGCCCAGACUCCUACGGGAGGCAGCAGUGGGGAAUAUUGCACAAUGGGCGCAAGCCUGAUGCAGCAACGCCGCGUGAGGGAUGACGGCCUUCGGGUUGUAAACCUCUUUUAGCAGGGAAGAAGCGAAAGUGACGGUACCUGCAGAAAAAGCACCGGCUAACUACGUGCCAGCCGCCGCCGUAA
rnacentral:rRNA from 1 species